rnacentral:rRNA from 1 species
CAGUAGCCACGGUAAUACAGAGGGUGCGAGCGUUAAUCGGAUUUACUGGGCGUAAAGCGUGCGUAGGCGGCUUUUUAAGUCGGAUGUGAAAUCCCUGAGCUUAACUUAGGAAUUGCAUUCGAUACUGGGAAGCUAGAGUAUGGGAGAGGAUGGUAGAAUUCCAGGUGUAGCGGUGAAAUGCGUAGAGAUCUGGAGGAAUACCGAUGGCGAAGGCAGCCAUCUGGCCUAAUACUGACGCUGAGGUACGAAAGCAUGGGGAGCAAACAGGAUUAGAGACCCCUGUAGUCCCUGUCUCUUAUAA